rnacentral:tRNA from 1 species
GGGUGUAGAGCUCAGUGACAGAGCGCGUGCUUAGCACGAACGAGGUCCUGGGUUCAAUCCCCAGCACCUCCA